rnacentral:rRNA from 1 species
AACGAACGCUGGCGGCAUGCCUAACACAUGCAAGUCGAACGAGACCUUCGGGUCUAGUGGCGCACGGGUGCGUAACGCGUGGGAACCUUCCCUUAGGUUCGGAAUAACUCCCCGACAGGGGUGCUAAUACCGGAUAAUGUCUUCUGACCAAAGAUUUAUCGCCUUUGGAUGGGCCCGCGUUGGAUUAGCUGGUUGGUAGGGUAAAAGCCUACCAAGGCGACGAUCCAUAGCUGGUCUGAGAGGAUGAUCAGCCACACUGGGACUGAGACACGGCCCAGACUCUUACGGGAAGGAGCAGAGGGGAAUAUUGGAAAAUGGGGGAAAUGCUGAUCCAGCAAUGCUGCGUGAGUGAUGAAGGUCUUAGGGUUGUAAAGCUCUUUUACCCGGGAUGAUAAUGACAGUACCGGGAGAAUAAGCUCCGGCUAACUCCGUG